CCCUUAGAUGUUCUGGGCAGCACGCGCGCUACAAUGGUCUUCGCAAACGGAUGCAUUCUCGAAGGAGAAUGCCAAUCUUGGAAUCUAUGCCUUGGUCGGGACAGUUGCUUGCAAUUUUUCGACUCGAACCAGGAAUUCCUUGUAAUCGUGAUUCAUCACAUCACGAUGAAUACGUCCCUGCCCUUUGUACACACCGCCCGUCGCUCCUACCGAUCGAAGAGUUAGGUGAAUUGUUUUGAUCGAUAAGAUUUGACUAUGGUCAACUCUCGUUGUGAAAUUCUGUGAAUCUGACUGUUUAGAGGAAGGAGGAGUCGUAACA
rnacentral:rRNA from 1 species